UCGAGAGUUUGAUCCUGGCUCAGGAUGAACGCUAGCGGCAGGCUUAACACAUGCAAGUCGAGGGGUAGAGGAAGCUUGCUUCCUUGAGACCGGCGCACGGGUGCGUAACGCGUAUGCAAUCUACCUUUUACAGAGGGAUAGCCCAGAGAAAUUUGGAUUAAUACCUCAUAGUAUGUGAGAAUCGCAUGGUUUUCACAUUAAAGUUCCAACGGUAUAAGAUGAGUAUGCGUCCCAUUAGCUAGAU
rnacentral:rRNA from 1 species